rnacentral:sRNA from 1 species
CGUGGGGAUAGACCGGCCAGUCGAAAAGCGGGGAACACCUCCCGCCUUCCCCACGGUCCAAGGUGUCCGCAGAGG